rnacentral:snoRNA from 1 species
GUGCCUGUGGGAUGAACAGGUCCCAAUAUUUAGCACCAUUUGCUCACUUUGUCAGCUAUUACCUGUACAUUAUUAGCUGAUCAUUUAAGAAUGGAAAAUAG